AUUGAACGCUGGCGGUAUGCCUAACACAUGCAAGUCGAACGGUAACAGAGGAAAGCUUGCUUUCUUGCUGACGAGUGGCGGACGGGUGAGUAACGCGUGGGAAUCUACCCAGUAGUUGGGGAUAGCCCGGAGAAAUCCGGAUUAAUACCGAAUAAGGUCUACGGACGAAAAGGUGCCUCUACUUGUAAGCACUUGCUAUUGGAUGAGCCCGCGUUAGAUUAGUUUGUUGGUGGGGUAAAGGCCUACCAAGACUGCGAUCUAUAGCUGGUUUGAGAGGAUGAUCAGCCACAUUGGGACUGAGACACGGCCCAGACUCCUACGGGAGGCAGCAGUGGGGAAUAUUGGACAAUGGGCGCAAGCCUGAUCCAGCAAUACCGCGUGUGUGAAGAAGGCCUUAGGGUUGUAAAGCACUUUUAUGUAGGAAGAAGGGUUGAUCGUUAAUAGCGGUUGAUUUUGACGGUACUACAAGAAUAAGCACCGGCUAACUCCGUGCCAGCAGCCGCGGUAAUACGGAGGGUGCGAGCGUUAAUCGGAAUUACUGGGCGUAAAGGGUACGUAGGCGGUCUGAUAAGUCAGAUGUGAAAUCCCCGGGCUUAACCUGGGAACUGCAUUUGAAACUGUCAUACUAGAGUGAGUGAGAGGUUAGUGGAAUUCAAGGCGUAGCGGUGAAAUGCGUAGAGGUCUUGAGGAACAUCAGUGGCGAAGGCGACUAACUGGCACUACACUGACGCUGAGGUACGAAAGCGUGGGGAGCGAACAGG
rnacentral:rRNA from 1 species